rnacentral:tRNA from 1 species
GGGGAUUUAGCUCAGUGGUAGAGCGCUUGCUGCCUAGGAAGCGCAAGGCCCUGGGUUCAAUCCCCAGCUCCG